rnacentral:rRNA from 1 species
ACGUACCGGACGAACGUUAUUCGGAAUCACUGGGCUUAAAGAGUCCGUAGGCGGCUCGGUAGGUGAGGUGUGAAAUCCCACGGCUCAACCGUGGAACUGCGCUUCAAACCACCGGGCUUGAGGGAGAUAGAGGUGAGCGGAACUGAUGGUGGAGCGGUGAAAUGCGUUGAUAUCAUCAGGAACACCGGUGGCGAAAGCGGCUCACUGGGUCUCUUCUGACGCUGAGGGACGAAAGCUAGGGGAGCGAACGGG